UACGUAGGAGGCGAGCGUUGUCCGGAAUUACUGGGCGUAAAGAGCGCGUAGGCGGCGCGGGAAGUCCGUGGUGAAAGCCCGAGGCUCAACUUCGGGUCGGCCAUGGAUACUCCUGGGCUCGAGCACUGUAGAGGCAGGUGGAAUUCCGGGUGUAGCGGUGGAAUGCGCAGAUAUCAGGAGGAACACCAAUUGCGAAGGCAGCUCGCUGGGACGUAACUGACGCUGAGACGCGAAAGCGUGGGGAGCAAACAGG
rnacentral:rRNA from 1 species